rnacentral:rRNA from 1 species
GACGAACGCUGGCGGCGUGCUUAACACAUGCAAGUCGAACGGAAAGGCCCUGCUUGCAGGGUACUCGAGUGGCGAACGGGUGAGUAACACGUGGGUGAUCUGCCCUGCACUUCGGGAUAAGCCUGGGAAACUGGGUCUAAUACCGGAUAUGACCUUCCAUGUAGUGUGGGGGGUGGAAAGAUUUAUCGGUGUGGGAUGAGCCCGCGGCCUAUCAGCUUGUUGGUGGGGUAAUGGCCUACCAAGGCGUCGACGGGUAGCCGACCUGAGAGGGUGGACGGCCACAUUGGGACUGAGAUACGGCCCAGACUCCUACGGGAGGCAGCAGUGGGGAAUAUUGCACAAUGGGCGGAAGCCUGAUGCAGCGACGCCGCGUGGGGGAUGACGGCCUUCGGGUUGUAAACCUCUUUCGACAGGGACGAAGCUUCGGUGACGGUACCUGUAUAAGAAGCACCGGCUAACUACGUG